rnacentral:rRNA from 1 species
AGUGAACGCUGGCGGUAGGCCUAACACAUGCAAGUCGAACGGCAGCACAGUAAGAGCUUGCUCUUACGGGUGGCGAGUGGCGGACGGGUGAGGAAUACAUCGGAAUCUACUUUUUCGUGGGGGAUAACGUAGGGAAACUUACGCUAAUACCGCAUACGACCUACGGGUGAAAGCAGGGGAUCUUCGGACCUUGCGCGAUUGAAUGAGCCGAUGUCGGAUUAGCUAGUUGGCGGGGUAAAGGCCCACCAAGGCGACGAUCCGUAGCUGGUCUGAGAGGAUGAUCAGCCACACUGGAACGGAGACACGGUCCAGAGUCCUACGGGAGGCAGCAGUGGGGAAUAUUGGACAAUGGGCGCAAGCCUGAUCCAGCCAUACCGCGUGGGUGAAGAAGGCCUUCGGGUUGUAAAGCCCUUUUGUUGGGAAAGAACAGCAGCAGGUUAAUACCCCGCUGUUCUGACGGUACCCAAAGAAUAAGCACCGGCUAACUUCGUG